AACACAUGCAAGUCGUGCGCAGGGUCGGCCCCUUUUGGGGCCGGCCGCUGAGCGGCAAACGGGUGAGUAACACGUGGGUAACCUACUCCCAGGAGGGGGAUAACCCCGGGAAACCGGGGCUAAUACCCCAUAACGCCACCCGCCACUAAGGCGAGGUGGCCAAAGGGGGCCUCUGGGGCUCUGCCCCACGCUCCCGCCUGGGGAUGGGCCCGCGGCCCAUCAGGUAGUUGGUGGGGUAACGGCCCACCAAGCCUAUGACGGGUAGCCGGCCUGAGAGGGUGGCCGGCCACAGCGGGACUGAGACACGGCCCGCACCCCUACGGGGGGCAGCAGUGGGGAAUCGUGGGCAAUGGGCGAAAGCCUGACCCCGCGACGCCGCGUGGGGGAUGAAGCCCUGCGGGGUGUAAACCCCUGUCGGGGGGGACGAUGCGGACUCGGGUUAAUAGCCCGUGUCCGUGACGGUACCCCCAGAGGAAGGGACGGCUAACUACGUGCCAGCAGCCGCGGUAAUACGUAGGUCCCAAGCGUUGCGCGAAGUCACUGGGCGUAAAGCGUCCGCAGCCGGUCGGGUAAGCGGGAUGUCAAAGCCCACGGCUCAACCGUGGACCGGCAUCCCGAA
rnacentral:rRNA from 1 species